rnacentral:rRNA from 1 species
GCUAAGAAUCUUCCGCAAUGGGCGCAAGCCUGACGGAGCGACGCCGCGUGGACGAUGAAGGCCGUAAGGUUGUAAAGUCCUUUUCUCUGUGAGGAAUGAGUGUGGGAGUGGAAAGCCCACAUGAUGACGGUAACGGAGGAAUAAGCACCGGCUAACUACGUGCCAGCAGCCGCGGUAAUACGUAGGGUGCGAGCGUUGUUCGGAGUUAUUGGGCGUAAAGGGCGUGUAGGCGGCUUGAGAAGUCUGGUUUGAAAUGCACUGGCUCAACUGGUGCGCUGGGUCAGAAACUGGCAGGCUUGAGUUCAUGGGGAGGAGCUGGAAUUCCAGGUGUAGGGGUGAAAUCUGUAGAGAUCUGGAAGAACACCGGUAGCGAAGGCGGGCUCCUAUGGAUGGACUGACGCUGAGGCGCGAAAGCGUGGGGAGCAAACAGGAUUAGAAACCCCUGUAGUCC